UAUUAGGUUGGUACAAAAGCAAUCGCGGUUUUUGCAAUUAUUUUCAAUGACAAUGGCAAAAACCACAACGAGUUUUGCACCAACCUAAUAGAA
ensembl:miRNA